rnacentral:rRNA from 1 species
AUUGAACGCUGGCGGCAGGCCCAACACAUGCAAGUCGAACGGUAACAGGAAACAGCUUGCUGCUUCGCUGACGAGUGGCGGACGGGUGAGUAAUGUCUGGGAAACUGCCUGAUGGAGGGGGAUAACUACUGGAAACGGUAGCUAAUACCGCAUAACGUCGCAAGACCAAAGAGGGGGACCUUCGGGCCUCUUGCCAUCGGAUGUGCCCAGAUGGGAUUAGCUAGUAGGUGGGGUAACGGCUCACCUAGGCGACGAUCCCUAGCUGGUCUGAGAGGAUGGCCAGCCACACUGGAACUGAGACACGGUCCAGACUCCUACGGGAGGCAGCAGUGGGGAAUAUUGCACAAUGGGCGCAAGCCUGAUGCAGCCAUGCCGCGUGUAUGAAGAAGGCCUUCGGGUUGUAAAGUACUUUCAGCGGGGAGGAAGGGAGUAAAGUCAAUACCUUUACUCAUUGACGUUACCCGCAGAAGAAGCACCGGCUAACUCCGUGCCAGCCGCCGCCGUAA